CUCGACAUAGCUCAGUUGGAAGAGCGCGGGACUGUAAAUCCUGAGGUCGCUGGUUCGAUCCCGGCUGUCGAGA
rnacentral:tRNA from 1 species